CUCAGGACGAACGCUGGCGGCGUGCCUAAUACAUGCAAGUAGAACGCACAGUUUAUACCGUAGCUUGCUACACCAUAGACUGUGAGUUGCGAACGGGUGAGUAACGCGUAGGUAACCUGCCUGGUAGCGGGGGAUAACUAUUGGAAACGAUAGCUAAUACCGCAUAAUAUUAAUUAUUGCAUGAUAAUUGAUUAAAAGGUGCAAUUGCACCACUACCAGAUGGACCUGCGUUGUAUUAGCUAGUAGGUGAGGUAACGGCUCACCUAGGCGACGAUACAUAGCCGACCUGAGAGGGUGAUCGGCCACACUGGGACUGAUACACGGCCCAUACUCCUACGGGAGGCAGCAGUAGGGAAUCUUCGGCAAUGGACGAAAGUCUGACCGAGCAACGCCGCGUGAGUGAACAACGUUUUCGGAUCGUAAAGCUCUGUUGUAACAGAAGACCGGGUGUGAGAGUGGAAAGUUCACACUGUGACGGUAUCUUACCAGACAGGGACGGGUAACUACGUGCCACCCGCCCCGGUAUUACCUACGUCCCGAGCGUCGUCCGG
rnacentral:rRNA from 1 species